rnacentral:rRNA from 1 species
AAACCAACAGGGAUUGCCUCAGUAACGGCGAGUGAAGCGGCAAAAGCUCAGAUUUGAAAUCUGGCGUCUUCGGCGUCCGAGUUGUAAUCUGUAGAGGAUGCCUUUGGGUAGCCACCGGUCUAAGUCCCCUGGAACGGGGUGUCACAGAGGGUGAGAAUCCCGUAUGUGACCGGAAGGGCGCCCUAUACAUGGCUCCUUCGACGAGUCGAGUUGUUUGGGAAUGCAGCUCUAAAUGGGAGGUAAAUUCCUUCUAAAGCUAAAUACCGGCCAGAGACCGAUAGCGCACAAGUAGAGUGAUCGAAAGAUGAAAAGCACUUUGGAAAGAGAGUUAAAAAGCACGUGAAAUUGUUGAAAGGGAAGCGCUUGCAACCAGACUUGUUGGCGGUGUUCCGCCGGUCUUCUGACCGGUCUACUCACCGUCUGCAGGCCAGCAUCAUCUGGGGCCGCUGGAUAAAAGCGGAGGGAAUGUGGCUCCUCCGGGAGUGUUAUAGCCCUCUGUGUAAUACAGCGAGUCCCGGGUGAGGUCCGCGCUUCGGCUAGGAUGCUGGCGUAAUGGUCGUAAGCGGCCCGUCUUGAAACACGGACCAAGGAGUCUAACAUCUAUGCGAGUGUUCGGGUGUCAAACCCCUACGCGUAAUGAAAGUGAACGGAGGUGGGAACCUUUUAGGUGCACCAUCGACCGAUCCUGAUGUCUUCGGAUGGAUUUGAGUAAGAGCAUAGCUGUUGGGACCCGAAAGAUGGUGAACUAUGCCUGGAUAGGGUGAAGCCAGAGGAAACUCUGGUGGAGGCUCGCAGCGGUUCUGACGUG